rnacentral:rRNA from 1 species
UACAGAGGUCUCAAGCGUUGUUCGGAUUCAUUGGGCGUAAAGGGUGCGUAGGCGGCGCGCUAAGUCGGGUGUGAAAUUUCGGAGCUUAACUCCGAAACUGCAUUCGAUACUGGCGUGCUUGAGGACUGGAGAGGAGACUGGAAUUCAUGGUGUAGCAGUGAAAUGCGUAGAGAUCAUGAGGAAGACCAGAGGCGAAGGCGGGUCUCUGGACAGUUCCUGACGCUGAGACACGAAGGCCAGGGGAGCAAACGGG